CUGGUAUCCAAAUCCCCCCAAUAACGAGACCAAGCUCCGCUUUGAGGGUAAAACACGAACUGAUUUACUGUGGGCUACCUGCCCGGUAUUUAUGCAGGUCUCCCACUUGGUGGACACUCCCCUAGGGGACCAAAUGGGAAACUGAAAUCACAGAGGGACAUGGGGACAUUUUGGACAUACAUCCCCACAAUAUUCCCAGCAUGCAUCACAGUUCCC